UAUUAAUCCUCCACUGGGUGGUGUUGUGUUCUAUUUCUCUGAAUUGAAGUUUUCUCUCCUGCAUCCUGGCUUAGGAAGUAAGUAAAAUCUCCAAGCUCAGGAAGCUCCUGAAAAUUGUAAUGUCCAAGAUUCCCUCCUCAAGCCUCAAGGCUGUAUGAGCUGUAACAGUUGUAAGGAUGCUUUGACCAGCUGAGCCACUGCAAAUAUUUCAAGGAACUCCAGGAUUUUGCCUUCCUCGUUCACCUGUGCUGGGCUUCUCAUGCUGCAACUGCCUUUGAAUCAACCACACUGCUGGAUUCAACGUUUAUGCAGCCAGCCUGUGGUAGAGAGGGUCCAAUACAUCGUACAUGGCAAAGAACCGGUCAUUCUGACCCCCACCAUCUGCUGCCUACAUAGUAGACUGAACAACAUACCUGAACAACAUCCUCUUCUGCCACUUCAUAUAAAAGCUCGUCGUGAAGUUGAAGGAUGAAGAAUCCUCCUCUCAUGGGACAAAACAUCCCUUUAAGUUUCCUCUUGGGCAACAAUCCUGCUCCAAGAAAGAGAGCAAACCUGAGCAGCAUGCCAUCAGACUAGAGGGAAGUAGAUUUUGUUUUAUUUUGCUCUUAAAAUUCCAAGUUUCUUAAGAUUCCUUAACAUUUUAAAACACACAGGUCUUGGAACAAUCAAAAAAAUACUGGCUGCUGCCUAGCAGGCAAACUCAAAUACCCAAUAACUUCAUUGCAGAAAGAAGGAAGUAAACAAGAUAUGAAGCUUCUGAAACUUCUCUAACCUGUCUCUCUAAGGAUCUUUCACUCUGAGAGGCAUGGGGCCCGGGCACUACUUCAGGUACAGUCAAUGUAUUGAGCCACAGAGGAUCCCUGCAUGUGCAAAGUCAAACUCCUAACAGCACUACAGAUGCUUGUGCUGGGUGUGCAUUUUUGAUCACCUCUCACAGAUUAACAGAUAUGCAAUACAAAAUGGCAGGAAUCCAUCGUUUUAUAAGUCAGACAUCAAAGAGACUUACAGAGAAAUACAAAAUAAAUUGACUUGGGACUAAUUUUCUUCUGUUCCAAAAAGAUUUACAUUCAUUAAAAAGGUGUUGCUUAUGUUAAAAUAUGGUGUGCUGAUGUGUGUACAGGUGUGGGUGUGUGUAUGUGGGUACAGGUGCCUAAGGAGGGCAGAGGUGUUGGCUCCCUUGGAGCUGGAGUUACAAGCCACUGGGAGCCUUUUGAUGUGGGUGCUGGGAACAGAAGCCAAGUCCUGUGCAAGAGUAGUAUGCACUUUUAACCUCUGAUCCAUCUCUUCAGCGCCCCCUUUUUUA
rnacentral:lncRNA from 1 species